rnacentral:tRNA from 1 species
GGUGAGGUUCCCGAGUGGCCAAAGGGAUCAGACUGUAAAUCUGACGCGAAAGCUUCGGUGGUUCGAGCCGAGCACGCAGUGCGA